rnacentral:rRNA from 1 species
AGCGAACGCUGGCGGCAGGCUUAACACAUGCAAGUCGAGCGGGCGUAGCAAUACGUCAGCGGCAGACGGGUGAGUAACGCGUGGGAACAUACCUUUUGGUUCGGAACAACACAGGGAAACUUGUGCUAAUACCGGAUAAGCCCUUACGGGGAAAGAUUUAUCGCCGAAAGAUUGGCCCGCGUCUGAUUAGCUAGUUGGUGAGGUAAUGGCUCACCAAGGCGACGAUCAGUAGCUGGUCUGAGAGGAUGAUCAGCCACAUUGGGACUGAGACACGGCCCAAACUCCUACGGGAGGCAGCAGUGGGGAAUAUUGGACAAUGGGCGCAAGCCUGAUCCAGCCAUGCCGCGUGAGUGAUGAAGGCCCUAGGGUUGUAAAGCUCUUUUGUGCGGGAAGAUAAUGUCGGU